UCCUUCCCAAUAUAUAGACUGGGUGCCCCAGGAACCCUCAUCCUACAGCUCCUGCUGAAUUCUCACAGGUCCCUGAGCUCAUUCUAUUCCUGCAAACAUGAAAGUCCUGGCUUUGGUGGUUCUGGUCAUUGCCGUCAGUGGAUUGGAAGCCGGAGUGGUCAAGAGAGAAGUGCCCAGUCUGGAUGAACUGACCAAGAUUUUGUCUACCUGGGCCGAUACCGUCAAAACCCAAACACAGGAAUGGAUCGACAAAGUCCAGAACGGAGAGGUGAAAGCCCAGACAGAGGAAAUCUUAGCACAAGUCAAAUCUCACAUGGAACCAAUACAGGGCCAGUUCCAAGAAAUAUUCUCCCAGCUCACUAACAAGAAGGCAUAAAUGGGCCGUUCCUGGAAACCACGCCCCAAAUCCCACCGACCCCACCACUUUUUCCUGAUUUCAUUUGGUUACUGUCCAUUCAACUGUUUGUGGUGCAAUAAAAACCCAUGUCUUUCCAA